ensembl:lncRNA
GAGGAUCUUGCCCAGGUUACCUAUAAGUCAGAGGGCCGUCACAAUAUCAAAUUGACUAAAAGGACACGCCAUGUCUGCCACUGCCUUCCGUCUGCAGGCUUCAACUUAAGAGCAGGAGAAACUCAGGGUUAGUUGAAGAAAACCUGCCAGCGAGCAGGUUAGUUUCACAGAGUAUGUUGCCAGGGUAACUGACUCAGAGUUAAGCUGAACUGGCUUUGUGAAACCGAAAAACCAGAGUUUCCCUCAUCUCGGGUUUAACUAACUCCGAGUUUUCACUAAACCUGAGGCCUGUUUCAGGUAGCUGGUUUAACAUACUCUGAGUUUAAUCCUGCGCUCUGAGUUGGUUGACUCAGAGUUCAGGGUUGAAAAGCAACUCUGGUUUUUCGGUUUCAGAACAGGUGAUCAGCGUUGGCUUAAUCAACUCUGAGUGUGUUCACGCUGGGUUGGGGGCGUGCCUGUUGACUAUAAAGAGCCAUCAUCAAUGGAUCUCUGAUAACAUGAUCAAACAUGGACCAAAAACGUAGAUCCAGUUACUUUUCACCCACGGAAUUGGAAAUUCUAAUGCACGCAUAUGCCGAGCAGGUACCCAUUUUCACCAAAAAAAGCAAUACCGCCGCGGCAGCGAGAGCGCGAGAGAGAGCUUGGCAGGAAAUAGCUGAACAAGUCAAUGCGAACAACCCGAGUUGCCCCAAGAGGACUUGGCAGCAAAUGAAAAUGAAGUACAAAAAUAUAGUUCAAACAGCAAAUCGAAAAAAAGCAGAGCCCCGGCAGACUGGAGGGGGUCCACCUCUGCAGCCCUCACAGAGGCUGAGGAGAUGGCCCUCAGCCAACAGAGUAUGGGUCCUGUGGCUGAGGGCAUCCCUGGGGGGAGCUCCUCUGAUCCCCCCAACCCCCCAGGAUAGAAGUGCCUUUAUUUAUAAGAGUUACUGAUGGCGUCAUCGCCCCACUUGAACCAGAUGCCCUCACCAACCUCCAUGCAAUUGAAGAUGAUGGAGAAACAUUGUCUGCGGCAUUCGAAAGGGAAAAAAAAAUUAACCUCUAAAAGUUGAUGAUAGCGUUGUACAAUUUAAAACUGACAUCUUCUUUCUCUCAAACAGGAUGAAAUCGAAUCCAAUGAGAGGCCAUCCACUUCUAAAUCACAGCUUACCUCUCUUCCAGUCAAAGACUUAUACAAAAUCGAUCUAGAAAAGCAAAUACACAAAGCAGACUUGGAAAUGGACCACCUUAGGCAAAAGAUGCAAAAGGAUGCUUUGGAGAUCCACAUUUUGGAACAUUUGUUAAAGGUGGGUGAGGUGCAAACUGGGAUACUGUUCCCUGCUCUAAAAACAUACCCAAUAUGAAUGACUUUUUUUGUGCUUUCAGGAAAUAAAGAAAUCCUCAUAAAAAGUAGAUUGUCUUUAUUAGAACACUGGCUGUGGUGGGACAAGUUAUUUUGUUGAACAGUUUACUCAAAGG